GACGAACGCUAGCGGCGUGCCUAAUACAUGCAAGUAGAACGCACAGUUUAUACCGUAGCUUGCUACACCAUAGACUGUGAGUUGCGAACGGGUGAGUAACGCGUAGGUAACCUGCCUGGUAGCGGGGGAUAACUAUUGGAAACGAUAGCUAAUACCGCAUAAUAUUGAUUAUUGCAUGAUAAUUGAUUGAAAGAUGCUAUUGCAUCACUACCAGAUGGACAUGCGUUGUAUUAGCUAGUAGGUGAGGUAACGGCUCACCUAGGCGACGAUACAUAGCCGACCUGCGAGGGUGAUCGGCCACGCUGGGACUGAGACACGGCCCAGACUCCUACGGGAGGCAGCAGUAGGGACUCUUCGGCAAUGGACGAAAGUCUGACCGAGCAACGCCGCGUGAGUGAAGAAGGUUUUCGGAUCGUAAAGCUCUGUUGUAAGAGAAGAACGGGUGUGAGCGUGGAAAGUUCACACUGUGACGGUAUCUUACCAGAAAGGGACGGCUAACUACGUG
rnacentral:rRNA from 1 species